rnacentral:rRNA from 1 species
UACGUAGGGUGCGAGCGUUAAUCGGAAUUACUGGGCGUAAAGCGUGCGCAGGCGGUUUUGUAAGACAGAGGUGAAAUCCCCGGGCUCAACCUGGGAACUGCCUUUGUGACUGCAAAGCUUGAGUGCGGCAGAGGGGGAUGGAAUUCCGCGUGUAGCAGUGAAAUGCGUAGAUAUGCGGAGGAACACCGAUGGCGAAGGCAAUCCCCUGGGCCUGCACUGACGCUCAUGCACGAAAGCGUGGGGAGCAAACAGG